rnacentral:rRNA from 1 species
GCUAAAGCCGUGCGUGCGUCGGGGGUAAUAGGGGGGGUCGCGUGGGUAAUCGGAGUUACGGGGGGUAAAGCGUGCGCAGGCGGUUUGUUAAGCGAUAGGGGAAAGCCCUGGGCUCAACCUAGGAAGAGCAUUUCGAACUGGCGAACUAGAGUUUUGUAGAGGGGGGUAGAAUUCCAGGUGUAGCGGUGAAAUGCGUAGAGAUCUGGAGGAAUACCGGUGGCGAAGGCGGCCCCCUGGACAAAGACUGACGCUCAUGCACGAAAGCGUGGGGAGCAAACAGGAUUAGAUACCCCAGUAGUC